GAGAUUUUUGAUGUUAAGGUUAAUUUUGUCUUUAAAAAUUAAUUACUUUGGAUAAUUUUAUAUAUUAGUUUUUGCGCGUUAAAAUUUUAUCUUAAGGAUAAAAAAGUUUUGUAGUUGUAGUUUUUAAUAUUAAACUAUUCUAGAAAUAUAGAUUUAGUUAAUUAUUUUAGGGUUGUUAAAGGUUGUGCCAGCAAACGCGGUUAUACAAUCAACUCAAGUUAAUUUGUUUGGUUUUUAUUAUUUUAUAUUUAUUGGGGAUUUAUUUAUAUUUGUUAGGUGAAAUUUCAAUUGUUUAUAUAUUCUCUUGGUUUUGAUAAUAUAAGAAAUUUAGAAUUUAAACUAGGAUUAGAUACCCUAUUAUUCUAAAUGUAAAUUGAAAACCAUAGUACUAAUAGUUAUGUUCUUAAAAUUAAAAAAAUUUGGCGGUAAUUUAGUCUUUUCAGAGGAACCUGUCCUGUAAUCGAUAAUCCACGUUGGAUAUUACUUUAUUUUUUAGUUUAUAUAUCUCUGUCAUUGAGUGUUUUAUUAGAAUAUUUUCUUUAAUCAUUAAUUUGAAUAAUGUCAGGUCAAGGUGUAG
rnacentral:rRNA from 1 species